rnacentral:rRNA from 2 species
UGGUGGGUAGUUUGACUGGGGCGGUCUCCUCCUAAAGAGUAACGGAGGAGCACGAAGGUUGGCUAAUCCUGGUCGGACAUCAGGAGGUUAGUGCAAUGGCAUAAGCCAGCUUGACUGCGAGCGUGACGGCGCGAGCAGGUGCGAAAGCAGGUCAUAGUGAUCCGGUGGUUCUGAAUGGAAGGGCCAUCGCUCAACGGAUAAAAGGUACUCCGGGGAUAACAGGCUGAUACCGCCCAAGAGUUCAUAUCGACGGCGGUGUUUGGCACCUCGAUGUCGGCUCAUCACAUCCUGGGGCUGAAGUAGGUCCCAAGGGUAUGGCUGUUCGCCAUUUAAAGUGGUACGCGAGCUGGGUUUAGAACGUCGUGAGACAGUUCGGUCCCUAUCUGCCGUGGGCGCUGGAGAACUGAGGGGGGCUGCUCCUAGUACGAGAGGACCGGAGUGGACGCAUCACUGGUGUUCGGGUUGUCAUGCCAAUGGCACUGCCCGGUAGCUAAAUGCGGAAGAGAUAAGUGCUGAAAGCAUCUAAGCACGAAACUUGCCCCGAGAUGAGUUCUCCCUGAGACUUUAGGUCUCCUGAAGGAACGUUGAAGACGACGACGUUGAUAGGCCGGGUGUGUAAGCGCAGCGAUGCGUUGAGCUAACCGGUACUAAUGAACCGUGAGGCUUAACCUUACAACGCCGAAGCUGUU